rnacentral:rRNA from 1 species
UAAGCGUGCGCAGGCGGUUAUGUAAGACAGAUGUGAAAUCCCCGGGCUCAACCUGGGAACUGCAUUUGUGACUGCAUGGCUAGAGUACGGUAGAGGGGGAUGGAAUUCCGCGUGUAGCAGUGAAAUGCGUAGAUAUGCGGAGGAACACCGAUGGCGAAGGCAAUCCCCUGGACCUGUACUGACGCUCAUGCACGAAAGCGUGGGGAGCAAACAGGAUUAGAUACCCGUGU